UGGGGGUAGAUCAGUUAGUAGAGCAUGAGACUCUUAAUCCCAGGGUCGUAGGUUUGAGCCCCACAUUGGGUGAAAG